UUUUCUUGAAGGCAAUUCAUUAGGUUCUCUAGGAUACAAAAACAUUCAUACAACAUAUUUCUUAACAAGAUGACUCAACAUGAGACAUGACAAUAAUUAAAUUUGAGUCACUUUACUCAAGAGAUUGCCUAAAUAUAAGCAAGCACAAGUCACUUGAACUAAAGAGAUAACUUCAUUAAGUAAAAUGGUUCAAGGACAAGCAUGUGAGGCAAUAGAAAGAUUCAU
rnacentral:lncRNA from 1 species